rnacentral:rRNA from 1 species
AUGCCACCGGAUCGAGACAUUGAAUUUUUGAUUGAGCUAUUGCCAGGCACCGGACCAACAUCAAAGAGACCAUAUCGGAUGCCCGCAAAGGAUCUGGAGAAAAUUAAGAUGCAGAUAAAGGAGUUACUGGAGAAAGGUUACAUUCAACCAAGUUCAUCACCUUGGGGAGCCCUAGUGCUUCUAGUGGAGAAGAAGGAUGGAUCUUUGAGGAUGGUAGUUGAUUGUUGUGCGUUGAAUGAGGUGACGAUCAAGAACAAAUACCCUCUUUUGAUGAUCAACAAUUUGUUUGACCAGUUGCAAGGAGCUAAAGUUUUCUCCAAGAUUGAUCUUCGAUCAGGUUAUCACCAGUUGAAGAUCCGAGAACAAGAUAUACCUAAGACAGCUUUUACUACAAGGUACGGGCUAUAUGAGUAUACCGUUAUGUCAUUUGGUCCGACUAACGCGCCUGCCUAUUUCAUGAACAUGAUGAACAAGGUGUUUAUGAAGUUUUUGGAUAAGUUCGUCGUGGUGUUCAUUGAUGAUAUAUUGGUCUAUUCGAAGAAUGGAGAAGAGCAUAAGGAGCAUUUGCGUUUGGUUCUUGAGAAGCUCAGAGAACAUCAGUUGUAUGCCAAGUUCAGCAAAUGUGAGUUUUGGUUAAAGGAAGUUGGAUUUCUCGGACAUGUUAUAUCCGGAGAAGGAAUAGCAGUAGACCCUACCAAGGUUACUUCUGUCACUAAAUGGGUGGCACCCACAUCAGUUGGAGAGAUCAGGAGUUUUCUUGGACUCGCAGGUUAUUAUCGGAGGUUUUAUCGAGAAUUUCUCCAGGAUUGCAAAGCCCAUGAUGGAGUUAUUGAAGAAGGACACCAAGUUUAA